rnacentral:rRNA from 1 species
UGUAUAGCAAUAGCUACUGCAUCAGCAAUGAUGUGGGAUCGACUCUGUCGUGUAAAGUUCUAGUCAGAAUUGUGAUAAUGACACUGUCUGGCUAUGUGCCUUGACCAAAUUACGUGCCAGCAGUCGCGGUAAUACGUAGAAGGCUAGUGUUAUUCAUGUUUAAUCGGUUUAAAGGGUACCUAGACGGCAGAUCAAGCCUUCAAGAAAUGGAUAAAGGGACUAAUCUGCUAGAGUUACUUGCGAAGGGGCAUUAAAGUACUGCUGGUGGAGAGAUGAAAUUCAGUGAUACCUAUCUUCAAAGAAGAACGACGGCACAGGUAAAGGUGAAGGCGUCCCCUUAUGUGAUAACUGA